rnacentral:lncRNA from 1 species
AGCUGAGGCCAUCAAUUGAAGGGAACAAAGGAGCAGGAGCUCUGCUGCCUCUUCUCGGGGCCUUCCCACAGACAGAGUGUUAUGCCAUGACAUCAUCAACCACCAAUCACCACAGACAGGGUGGAGCAGGUUUUGUCUGUGAACCAGGCUCUGCAAUAGUCAAAAGGCAAAGGGCGGCAGGGCAGGUGUGAGGACAUGAAUGCUGGCUAGUGGAACGAUUUCUUCUCUUCAAGGACCACGCGACGCAUGUGUGAGUUCAACAACAAGGACACCAGGACUUCUGCCACUCACAGCCUGUUGCUCUGAAAUCAUCAGUGCGCACCUAGGCGACAUCAACUCUCCAGCCCUGGUUCUCUGAGCCACAGCCUUCUGGAGUGAUCUGCUGGAAGCCAGUUCUAGCCCAUCCUCCUCCUCUGGGACUGCAUCACUCUUUGAUGACUUGGUCAGCUCUGUUCUGGUGUCCACCACCUGAGACCAACAGCACCACUUGUGUGUCAGUUCUCAGAGAAGAGAGAGGGAAGGAGGGGGAGGGGAGAUGGGAAAGCCUUGCAAGCUAGGGAUGUUCUCCCUCAGUCACACCUCAGCUCUCCCUAAUCUUCACCCAGCAGACAGACUGCAUUCACUACUACCCAGAAUGCACUUCUCCCACAACGCUUGAUCAUGCAAGUCUGAGACCCUACUCUUCUGAAGCUGAUGACCCAUCCUGGAAACUGUGACACAAUACAAGGAGAGGGGUGACGCGUGACCACAGAGGCUGUCUCUUGUUUUGUUUCCUCUAUAAAGCAGAAGGCAUCACAAAGAUCAACGAGGGUCCAAUUGAAGUACCUGAAAAUACCAGUUAUGGCCGAGCGCAUGAAUGCAUUCAUCAGCUACCACUUACGGAGCACUUACGUGCCAAACACUGCUGCAUGCUCGGCCUGCAUUAGCUCAUUUCUGUCUUCAGAAUUACAUUCUAAUGAUAGGGUUACGCUCACUUUGGAAGCCCAGCAAUUAAAUUACAGUUCAGAGAAGUCCAUUACCUCCCAGGGUCAUGAUGUAAUGGAGACUCGAGGGCUGGCUGUCCCUUCCAACACAGCCUCACUCAGUAAACUCAAUGUACUGUGACCUCUAUGCUGCUUCUUAUGAGCACACAUGUCAUCAACUGCCAUUCAAUUCCCUCCACGCUUCUUUAGAUCUUUUUAAAAAAAUAAACAGUGAUUGCUAAUCUGC